rnacentral:rRNA from 1 species
AGUGAACGCUGGCGGUAGGCCUAACACAUGCAAGUCGAACGGCAGCACAGUAAGAGCUUGCUCUUACGGGUGGCGAGUGGCGGACGGGUGAGGAAUACAUCGGAAUCUACUUUUUCGUGGGGGAUAACGUAGGGAAACUUACGCUAAUACCGCAUACGACCUACGGGUGAAAGCAGGGGAUCUUCGGACCUUGCGCGAUUGAAUGAGCCGAUGUCGGAUUAGCGAGUUGGCGGGGUAAAGGCCCACCAAGGCGACGAUCCGUAGCUGGUCUGAGAGGCUGAUCAGCCACACUGGAACUGAGACACGGUCCAGACUCCUACGGGAGGCAGCAGUGGGGAAUAUUGGACAAUGGGCGCAAGCCUGAUCCAGCCAUACCGCGUGGGUGAAGAAGGCCUUCGGGUUGUAAAGCCCUUUUGUUGGGAAAGAAAAGCAGCAGGUUAAUACCCCGCUGUUCUGACGGUACCCAAAGAAUAAGCACCGGCUAACUUCGUG